rnacentral:tRNA from 1 species
UUUAAUUUAGUAUAUUAGUAUAUCUACCUUCCAAGUAGAAGGUCUUAAGAGAAUUCACU